rnacentral:rRNA from 1 species
GACGAACGCUGGCGGCGUGCUUAACACAUGCAAGUCGAACGGUAAGGCCUUCGGGUACACGUGUGGCGAACGGGUGAGUAACACGUGGGUGCUCUGCCCCCUACUCUGGCAUAAGCCUGGGAAACUGGGUCUAAUACCGUAUAUGACCUCCUUCUGCAUGGUUGGAGGGGGAUAGCUUGUUCGGUAGGGGAUGAGCCCGCGGCCUAUCAGUUUGGUGGUGGGGUAAUGGCCUACCAAGGCGACGACGGGUAGCCGGCCUGAGAGGGCGACCGGCCACACUGGGACUGAGACACGGCCCAGACUCCUACGGGAGGCAGCAGUGGGGAAUAUUGCACAAUGGGCGAAAGCCUGAUGCAGCGACGCCGCGUGGGGGAUGACGGCCUUCGGGUUGUAAACCCCUUUCAGUCGGGACGAAGCGAGAGUGACGGUACCGAUAGAAGAAGCACCGGCCAACUACGUGCCAGCAGCCGCCGUAAUAC